GCCGGGGUAGCUCAAUGGUAGAGCAAUGGUUUUGUAAACCAUAGGUUGGUGGUUCGAUCCCACUUCCCGGCUCCA
rnacentral:tRNA from 1 species